rnacentral:rRNA from 1 species
GGACUACUGGGGUAUCUAAUCCUGUUUGCUCCCCACGCUUUCGUGCCUGAACGUCGGUGCUGGACCAGGAAGCCGCCUUCGCCACUGAUGUUCCUUCCGAUAUCUACGCAUUUCACCGCUACACCGGAAAUUCCGCUUCCCUCUUCCGCACCCAAGCCUUGCAGUUUCGAAUGCAAUUCCCAGGUUGAGCCCGGGGAUUUCACAUCCGACUUACAAAACCGUCUACGCACGCUUUACGCCCAGUAAUUCCGAUUAACGCUUGCACCCUCUGUAUUACCGCGGCUGCUGGCAC